AUUGAACGCUGGCGGCAUGCCUUACACAUGCAAGUCGAACGGUAACAGGCCUUCGGGCGCUGACGAGUGGCGAACGGGUGAGUAAUGCAUCGGAACGUGCCCAGUCGUGGCGGAUAACUAUCCGAAAGGAUAGCUAAUACCGCAUACGAUCUGCGGAUGAAAGCGGGGGACCUUCGGGCCUCGCGCGCUUGGAGCGGCCGAUGUCAGAUUAGGUAGUUGGUGGGGUAAAGGCUCACCAAGCCAACGAUCUGUAGCUGGUCUGAGAGGACGACCAGCCACACUGGGACUGAGACACGGCCCAGACUCCUACGGGAGGCAGCAGUGGGGAAUUUUGGACAAUGGGCGCAAGCCUGAUCCAGCAAUGCCGCGUGCAGGAAGAAGGCCUUCGGGUUGUAAACUGCUUUUGUACGGAACGAAACGGCUCUGGUUAAUACCCGGGGCUAAUGACGGUACCGUAAGAAUAAGCACCGGCUAACUACGUGCCAGCCGCCGCGGUAACAC
rnacentral:rRNA from 1 species